UACGAAUUUCACCUCUACACUCGGAAUUACUGGGCGUAAAGCGCGCGUAGGUGGUUCAGUAAGUUGGAAGUGAAAUCCCCGGGCUCAACCUGGGAACUGCUUUCAAAACUGCUGAGCUAGAGUACGGUAGAGGGUGGUGGAAUUUCCUGUGUAGCGGUGAAAUGCGUAGAUAUAGGAAGGAACACCAGUGGCGAAGGCGACCACCUGGACUGAUACUGACACUGAGGUGCGAAAGCGUGGGGAGCAAACAGG
rnacentral:rRNA from 1 species